GCCUGGGUGGCUCAAUCGGUUAAGCGUCUGACUUCGGCUCAGGUCAUGAUCUUGCAGUCCGUGGGUUCGAGCCCUGCGUCGGGCU
rnacentral:tRNA from 1 species